rnacentral:rRNA from 1 species
AUGCUCCCGCUCACCGCCGCAAGGGCCUGCCUUUCCUCCCCGGCGCCGCCGCCGAGACCCCAAACCUGAGCGGCGCCUCUCCCCCCCCCCCUUCACCGUCGCCGCUCCACCACCACACUGCCCAGACCUGCCAUGAUCCCCCUUCUUCGCCUUCUCGAGGCCGCGGCGGGCGCCGGCGCGCCGGGCGCGUCCUCACGACCCGUGAGGGACCGCGUGAUCAACUUUGGCAAGCACAAGGGCUAGAUGCUCGGCAUGCUGCCGCCGUCCUACCUGUGCUGGGUGGUCGCGGAGCUCGACUAUGGGGACACGCUGGUCUGGGCGCGCCUGGUGGAGGUGCUUGACGACCCCGUCUACAUCGACCGCGUCGAGUGGGAGCACGCGCACCGCUUCCUCCGCGGCGACUCCAAGUUUGACUACAUCUACAAUGACGACGACGGCGACGGCCCCCUCCAGGAGAUGGCCGAGCGCUUCGGCUGGGAUCUCUCCGACGAGGACGGCUGGGGCCGCCUCGACUUCCGCCUCCUCGACACCUCCUACGGCGGCCGCAUCCCGAGGAAGGCCGACCGACGCUAGAUCACCGGCAGCGGCAGCAACAAACCCCCCGCGGGCGCCCUGUUCGACACUGGGGCGGCCGACCCGGACGGGGCGAGGGGGAAGAGGGACGAGAGGAGGGAGCGGAUGCGGACGAGGAGGGAGGAUCAGGUGAGGACGGAGAAACUGGAUGUGCUCGGCGUGAACGCCGACGCGAAGGAUGGCCACGGUGGCACCUGGUUCGUGGGCCUAACCAGUCAGAUUUGUGCUUAG